UUAUUAUCCGUUCUUACCACUACACGGCCACUUCGAUAUCGUACGCCCACCUCCUCCCCCACCCCUGAAGUGCAAAGAGGAGCAAAAUCGCUGGCUGGCUGGCUGAUUUCUUAGAUUAGACUUCAUCAAACAUUUCUGCCCCAACUCACUCGCUCACACUCUCUCUGUCAACUGAACAUAGUGGAGGAGGAGAGUUUGCAACUGAAAUUUGUGGUCUGAGUUUGCACCUUUUUGGGAUAAAAAUGGUGGCGUCGUGGGUGUAAGGGUUUAAUUUCGGUCUUUUUCGAAUGUCUUCUCUUUUUAUGGUUUGAUAGCUGUGGUUUUGUUCGGGAGAUUUCGAAAUUUGAAAAAGGGGCGUCUGUGUGAUUGAGAUUGAUGGAAGACAGUUUAGGUUCAGAUUCAGUUCCUUCUGGUCCCAUUGACAAAAACAAGGUUUUCUCCAUUAAGCCAUUAAGAUGUCUUGUUCCAAUCUUCCCUUCACAAGGGGGUUCUGGUCCAUCUUCAACACAACAAUCUCCAUUUGCAUUCGUUUCUCCAACUGGUCCAUUUCCCCCUGGAGCUGCACAAUUUUUCCCCUUCGUUUCUCCAACUCCAAAUGAGUCUCCUAUUCAGAGACAAACAGCCAGUGUACCUGAUAAUGGUAAAUCCUACGCAAUCCCAUCUCCAGUUCCUCUAAAUUCCUUCAGGACACCCAUCUCAGCACCACCUCCUGACAAUGGUGCCAAAGGCACAACAACAACAACAACAAUGACAACAACAGCACCAACAGCAACAAGAAGAAGCUCCAAGAAUGUCAUCCCAUAUGAUGAAGGAUACACUCAAAGCGAUGGAUAUGAAAACGGGUUCACAAUCGAUACAGAAGACAGCGGUGAUGCCAUUAAAAGAAAGCGAAAAAUCCGGAAAACCGUGAAAGGAUCACAAGCAGUAGCUGUAUCUAGCUCUGAAGUCGACAUCGAUCCAUUAGUUAAUCAUAUUUUGAAAUCUUUUCGCCUUGUUGAAAUCGAUACAAUUCUUCAAGCUGAUAGUAAUCAUGAAUUAGUCCAACGUGUGGUUUUGGUUUACAAUCUGCUAAGAAGAAAAAUCACACAGCUCGAUGAUGCAAAAGGGGUAAUCCCGGGAAUUUCAAGACGGGCAGAUUUACGGUCAGGUACAAUCUUGAUGAACAAAGGUGCCCGGGUGAAUACAAAAAGACGGGUCGGAUCCGUACCCGGUGUCGAUAUUGGUGAUGUUUUCUUUUUCAGAAUGGAGCUCUGUUUGGUGGGAUUACAUGCUCCAAUCAUGGCAGGGAUAGAUUACUUAAGUUUUAAAGUCAGUGGUGAUGAAGAACCGAUUGCAGUAAGUAUCGUUUCAGCAGGAGGAUAUGAAGAUGAAGAAGACGAUGGAGAGGUGAUAAUUUACAGUGGUCAAGGUGGUGUUCAAAGAAGCGAUAAAUUACUCAUGGAUCAAAAACUCGAAAGGGGUAAUCUUGCUUUAGAAAAAAGCUUACAUAGAGGUAAUGAAGUAAGAGUUGUUAGAGGUCUUAAAGAUGGAACAAGUGCAACUGGAAAAGUAUAUGUUUAUGAUGGGUUAUACAAAAUCCACGAAUCUUGGAUCGAAAAAGGAAAAUCCGGUUGCAAUGUUUUCAAGUAUAAACUCAUUCGGGUUUCCGGGCAGCCCGAGGGGUUUAUGUUGUGGAAAUCAAUUCAACAAUGGAGAGACGGGGUGACUGCCCGAGUCGGGGUUAUCCUGCCCGAUCUUACUUCUGGUGCGGAAAAUUUACCCAUUUGUUUAGUUAACGAUGUGGAUAGCGAAAAGGGCCCUGCGUAUUUUACGUAUUUGCCCUCUUUGAAAUACGCGAAACCAUACGGAACUUCAAAAUCUUUAAGCUGUAGAUGCUCAAACGGAUGUCAACCCGCGUCUCCUUGCCCUUGUGUGGAAAAAAACAACGGGUAUCUUCCGUAUUCAUCAACGGGUAUUUUAUUAAGUCAUAACUUAAUUGUUCAUGAAUGUGGGCCUUCAUGUUUAUGUCCUCCAAGUUGUAGAAACCGGGUGUCACAAACGGGGUUGAAACUCCGUUUAGAGGUUUUCAGAACUAAAAAUAAAGGUUGGGGACUUAGGUCGUGGGACCCGAUACGGGCUGGAGCUUUUAUAUGCGAGUAUGCGGGUGAAGUGAUUACUGAAAGUGGGAUUGAUAGUGAUGAUAAUUAUGUAUUUGAUGCGGGUCGGGUUUUUGACCCGUUGGAGCUUGUGCCUACUGAUGAGCCUGUUAAGAUUCCGUUUCCGUUGGUUGUUAGUGCGAAAAAUAAGGGGAAUGUGGGCCGGUUUAUGAACCAUAGUUGUUCGCCUAAUGUUUAUUGGCAACCGAUUAUGAGGGAAAAUGAAGAGGAGUCGUAUUUACAUGUUGGGUUAUAUGCGAUUAAGCAUAUUGGACCUUUGCAGGAGUUAACGUUUAAUUAUGGGGUCCCACGGGUUGAGAAAAAAGGGAUUGUGAAAAAAAAGUGUUUGUGUGGAUCUUCGAAUUGCAAAGGCUUUUUUUACUAGUGAUGGAGAGGGAGUGAAGAUGAAGAUGAAUCAUGAAUCAUGAAAUAUGAAUGUUGUCUCUCUUGUAAAAGGGUCCUUUGUCCACAUUUACUAUCGCGUAUGGACACAAAAUGGCACAGGAGAAGAGAGGCAGCUUGCACCUAUUGGCCCUGCCCUUAAUUUGCUGAAAAGUAAUAAUUGUUUAUACUUUUGUCAUAUGUGCAAUCUGGAUGGAUUUCAAUUUUAAAAAAGUUACAAAAUAUUUAUAACUUUUUCUCAUAGGAUCUAA